AACUCCAUCCAGUGCUGUAUUUGAAAAGUUUUACUUAAAGGAAUGAUGUAAACUCUAAAUCAGGAGAACUUUAAACACAAACAAGCAAAACUCCAGUCAAACACAGUAACUGAUUUUGUCAUCAGUCAUUCCAAAUAGACUAGUUUAUCAUUCUUUUGGCAUUUUAAUAAAGGGAAAAGGCCUCAUCAAACCUUCAUGCUUGAAUGAGAAAUAUCUUUCAGUACUAGCUGGCUUGCUCUCACCUAAAGCUGGAGACUUGGCUCUUUCCUGCCCCUGGGGGCUGGGAGGAACAAGAACAUAACCACAAGUGUUUCAUCAGUGGCCUACCAGGAUUCAGUGUGGCGCACAGCACAGUGUGGUCCAUCAGCAGCAUCGGCAUCUCCUGGGAGCUCCUUGGAGAGGUAGAAUUUAAGGUCCAAGCCCAGAUCUACUGAAUCAGAAUCUGCAUCCCAGAGAUGUGUGUGAGCACUGAAAGACGAGAAUAACUGGCAUAGAGGGGCUCUAUAAGGGCAAGAUACAACAUUAAAGUCAAGACUCAGUGACAGAAAGAAGGAGCCUGCUAUUUGGCUGGUCAGGAGCAGAGCAGUCAAGCACAGGAAAUAAAGUUUAUUGGCCCAAGACCUGAACUGGGGAGAAGAGGAAGAAGGCCAGUGUGGUUGGAGCAAGCACGAGAGAGGCAGAUGGUCAUUUUAAGACCUACCUACCCUUAAGUGCAUGUGGCCUAAACAAGAAGAGGUUUGCCCAAGUUGUUUUCCAGGAAUUGGAGUCGGCUAUGUCUAGCUGAAGCUGAGCUGGUUAAGACUGGAUAGGACCACAACCCUCCAGCUGGGCACAUUACAGAGGCGGAAGGAAGAAGAGGUGAAGACCUUUGCUACUGCUUGUCUACACCUUAAGCCCAGUUAGAGGCUCGUUGUCCAUUUUAACCCGGCAAGUAGCCUGGAGCUCCUUCAAGGCUCAGCAGGGAAAUGCAGAGAUAACAAAGGAAAGCAGAGGAGGAAACUCUCUCCCCGGAGCUCUCUCCAGGCAAAAGUUGCUGAGCAGAAGGAGACAUUGCAUCCAAAGGAACAGACCCCAUGCCUGCACACCCUCAUUAGCUCUCUGCCUGGACUUUUAUUUGCCACAACUCCAGCCGUGGUCAGACCGAGAGAUCAGACCAAGUCUGGCUCUAGUGUCUCUUGUAGGAACUGCCUGGGGCCCAGACAGCUCCCACUGAGCUGCUAAAGUCCUAGCAUUGGUCACAUCCCCUCCGUGGUAACCGGGGCUGCCAGCAGUGUCCUGCUGAAUUGUUCCCUGGACUUUCUCUGCUCAGUUCCUGUGCUCCAGCUCUGAGUUUAUAAAUGUUUACCAUACCCAGAACGAGCAAAUGUUUACAGUGAACCUUUACACAGAACCCAGGAAAGCUCCCUUUUAAUCCAGAAAAAUGUCCUGGCAAAAGGGAAAAAAAAAAAAGCCCACAGUGUUCAACGUGUGCCCAGCGGCUGCCUGCUGCCUCCACCCCGACUGGCUCUUUGUAAAGGCAAUGGAGGCCCAGCCGCAGCAAGUGUCCAUGUCUGUGGUCUUUGUGGAGUUUUCAGUGAGGACCUUUAUUCAGAGAGAGUACUGUAAUCUUUCACUAUUCCCAUAAAUCAGAAAACUGCAGACGUCAAAGAGGAUUAGGUCACUUUGGGGGCUCCUGACUG
ensembl:lncRNA